ensembl:ncRNA C25F6.26 ncRNA
CCUGCGAGGAUGCGCAAUCUCCCUCGUUUUCCCUCCUUUCUCCCCUUUCCCUUCGGAAUGUACAAGACUGGCCCCGGAAAGAUGUCUCCGAUGAAUAAAGGGGAGACUCCUGGUUGGACUGUCGGACACGUACACACACCAUCACAAACAGAUUGUUUUCUCUUUGCCCUCUUUCUUUUUGCCUUCUAUUCCUCCCACUGCGUCUUCUUCGCCUUCUUAUACAAAUAUAAUGUUUGCACAUUCAGAGACGCAUCCUCACCAUCAUGCGCGCCAGAAAG